CAUAGCACAGUGGUAGAGCACUUGCCCGGCAUGGGCAAGGUCGCGGGUUCAAACCCCGCUG
rnacentral:tRNA from 16 species